CUCGGUGUGGAAGGAGGCCUUGGCUGGCUCGCUUGUUGAGUUCCCAGCAAAGCCUUUGCCUCUUCUCAAUGGGUUCCACGGUUGCGUCCCAGGGUGACAUUGUAGGGUCAGUGUAAUUUAACCCUGAUUGCUCCAGUCUUGCUUCCCAGUCUUUGAUACAGUACUAUCCUGGGUUCUAAGGGAACCCCUUGGUUGGUUGUUUUAUUUAUUUUUUUCUGAGGACGCAGGACUGGGGUUUCUUGACUCCUAGGACCAGGCUGGGCAAACCCACAGUAUUUGGCCACAGUUGGUGUAAAAGUCGAGGCGUCUGUUGAGAAAGCUUUAGUCUCAGUGGGGACAAGACUUCGAUUUGAGACCCCUUGUUUGCACUGCGCUUCAACCAAAUGAGGAAUAAGGAUAAGAGGGCGUGGAGGGAGGGGAGGGAGGGAAAAGGAGAGAGCACUCAAGGAACCAGUUGACCUGUGUUCAGGAGACAUACUUGUGUGUGAUCUUUAUACCAGAUCCGGAUGUGAUGGUGUUUAAACUUUGGAAAGAUUGGCCUUUUGACCUGCUUUUAAUCAGUUCUGAAGCCAAGGGAACUGGCCCAAAGUGGCCCCACAUACAGGUCACGUGGCCUACGGAGAAGGACAGUGUCAUAUCAGAGCGGCUCUUUAUGCUCAGAGAGCAGAAGAGCUAUGCUUGCAAGAAUGUGUGUGUGUGUGUGUGUGUGUGUGUGUGUGUGUGUGUGUGUUUAUUUUCUAAAAGGAAGGCAAGCGCUUCCCAGGUUGGAAUUGCAAGUUAAUCUGUAGAGCCAAGCAUCUGGAGAGGAUGGGGACCUUUGUGAAAGCCAACUGCCCCUGGAAGCCACAACUUGACCUGAUCUUUGCACUCGAUCAGUUGUGCACAGGAGACUCCUGGGGCUAGUGAUGGAGCUCAGUGAUCGAGCAUGUGCCUGGCAUGCGCAAGCCUGGAGAUCUACCCCUCAACACAAGGAAGAAACCAAAACAACAACAACAAUUAAAAACAAGAAGCAGAGCGACUCCCUAAGACCCAGUAUUGCUUCAUGGAGGAAGCAAAUCUGAAGACUUGAAAAGCCCACAUUCAUAAAGACCAAAUAUUUUAAUC
rnacentral:lncRNA from 1 species